GGGGGUGUAGCUCAGUUGGGAGAGCGCCUGCCUUGCACGCAGGAGGUCAGCGGUUCGAACCCGCCCACCUCCA
rnacentral:tRNA from 1 species